rnacentral:rRNA from 1 species
GUGACUGCGUACCUUUUGUAUAAUGGGUCAGCGACUUAUAUUCUGUAGCAAGGUUAACCGUAUAGGGGAGCCGCAGGGAAACCGAGUCUUAACUGGGCGUUAAGUUGCAGGGUAUAGACCCGAAACCCGGUGAUCUAGCCAUGGGCAGGUUGAAGGUUGGGUAACACUAACUGGAGGACCGAACCGACUAAUGUUGAAAAAUUAGCGGAUGACUUGUGGCUGGGGGUGAAAGGCCAAUCAAACCGGGAGAUAGCUGGUUCUCCCCGAAAGCUAUUUAGGUAGCGCCUCGUGAACUCAUCUUCGGGGGUAGAGCACUGUUUCGGCUAGGGGGUCAUCCCGACUUACCAACCCGAUGCAAACUACGAAUACCGAAGAAUGUUAUCACGGGAGACACACGGCGGGUGCUAACGUCCGUCGUGAAGAGGGAAACAACCCAGACCGCCAGCUAAGGUCCCAAAGUCAUGGUUAAGUGGGAAACGAUGUGGGAAGGCACAGACAGCCAGGAUGUUGGCUUAGAAGCAGCCAUCAUUUAAAGAAAGCGUAAUAGCUCACUGGUCGAGUCGGCCUGCGCGGAAGAUGUAACGGGGCUAAACCAUGCACCGAAGCUGCGGCAGCGACACUAUGUGUUGUUGGGUAGGGGAGCGUUCUGUAAGCCUGCGAAGGUGUGCUGUGAGGCAUGCUGGAGGUAUCAGAAGUGCGAAUGCUGACAUAAGUAACGAUAAAGCGGGUGAAAAGCCCGCUCGCCGGAAGACCAAGGGUUCCUGUCCAACGUUAAUCGGGGCAGGGUGAGUCGACCCCUAAGGCGAGGCCGAAAGGCGUAGUCGAUGGGAAACAGGUUAAUAUUCCUGUACUUGGUGUUACUGCGAAGGGGGGACGGAGAAGGCUAUGUUAGCCGGGCGACGGUUGUCCCGGUUUAAGCAUGUAGGCUGAUUGUCCAGGCAAAUCCGGAUAAUCAAGGCUGAGGUGUGAUGACGAGGCACUACGGUGCUGAAGUAACAAAUGCCCUGCUUCCAGGAAAAGCCUCUAAGCAUCAGGUAACAUCAAAUCGUACCCCAAACCGACACAGGUGGUCAGGUAGAGAAUACCAAGGCGCUUGAGAGAACUCGGGUGAAGGAACUAGGCAAAAUGGUGCCGUAACUUCGGGAGAAGGCACGCUGGUGUGUAGGUGAAGUCCCUGCGGAUGGAGCUGAGACCAGUCGAAGAUACCAGCUGGCUGCAACUGUUUAUUAAAAACACAGCACUGUGCAAACACGAAAGUGGACGUAUACGGUGUGACGCCUGCCCGGUGCCGGAAGGUUAAUUGAUGGGGUUAUCCGUAAGGAGAAGCUCUUGAUCGAAGCCCCGGUAAACGGCGGCCGUAACUAUAACGGUCCUAAGGUAGCGAAAUUCCUUGUCGGGUAAGUUCCGACCUGCACGAAUGGCGUAAUGAUGGCCAGGCUGUCUCCACCCGAGACUCAGUGAAAUUGAACUCGCUGUGAAGAUGCAGUGUACCCGCGGCAAGACGGAAAGACCCCGUGAACCUUUACUAUAGCUUGACACUGAACAUUGAGCCUUGAUGUGUAGGAUAGGUGGGAGGCUUUGAAGCGUGGACGCCAGUCUGCGUGGAGCCAACCUUGAAAUACCACCCUUUAAUGUUUGAUGUUCUAACGUUGGCCCCUGACCGGGGUUGCGGACAGUGUCUGGUGGGUAGUUUGACUGGGGCGGUCUCCUCCCAAAGCGUAACGGAGGAGCACGAAGGUUAGCUAAUCCUGGUCGGACAUCAGGAGGUUAGUGCAAUGGCAUAAGCUAGCUUGACUGCGAGCGUGACGGCGCGAGCAGGUGCGAAAGCAGGUCAUAGUGAUCCGGUGGUUCUGAAUGGAAGGGCCAUCGCUCAACGGAUAAAAGGUACUCCGGGGAUAACAGGCUGAUACCGCCCAAGAGUUCAUAUCGACGGCGGUGUUUGGCACCUCGAUGUCGGCUCAUCACAUCCUGGGGCUGAAGUAGGUCCCAAGGGUAUGGCUGUUCGCCAUUUAAAGUGGUACGCGAGCUGGGUUUAGAACGUCGUGAGACAGUUCGGUCCCUAUCUGCCGUGGGCGCUGGAGAAUUGAGGGGGGCUGCUCCUAGUACGAGAGGACCGGAGUGGACGCAUCACUGGUGUUCGGGUUGUCAUGCCAAUGGCACUGCCCGGUAGCUAAAUGCGGAAGAGAUAAGUGCUGAAAGCAUCUAAGCACGAAACUUGCCCCGAGAUGAGUUCUCCCUGAGACUUUAAGUCUCCUGAAGGAACGUUAAAGACGAUGACGUUGAUAGGCCGGGUGUGUAAGCGCAGCGAUGCGUUGAGCUAACCGGUACUAAUGAACCGUGAGGCUUAACCUU